rnacentral:rRNA from 1 species
GAAAGGGAAACGAUUGAAGUCAGUCGUACCGACGAGAAAUCAACUUAUCGUGUGCGAACUUGUGGGCGUGCGUGAGUUUCGGCCUCGCUGUUUGCAUGUUUGUGCGUUUUGGGUGUACUUUUUCGUAUGGUAGGCCAACGUCAGUUUCGAUUAUCAUAAAAUGACCGGCGGAAUGUAGCUUCGAUUUCGGUUGAAGUGUUAUAGCCUCUGGUAGAUGUAGUGAUUGAGACUGAGGAUUGCAACGAAUACCCUUUGGGCUAUCCGUCUGGCCUCUGAAAGUUGCUCAGGUGCCGAAAGCGUGCUUACGGUCAUCUAAGAUAACGUUCAACAGGUUAGAACGUGAUUACAUUCGUUAAGGAUGUUGACGUA